UACGUAGGUGGCAAGCGUUGUCCGGAUUUACUGGGCGUAAAGCGCGCGCAGGCGGGCUGGUCAGUCUGGGGGUGAAAUCUCACGGCUCAACCGUGAGAGGUCCCCUGGAUACUGCUAGCCUUGAGGGGGCUCAGAGGAGAGUGGAAUUCCGGGUGUAGUGGUGGAAUGCGUAGAUAUCCGGAGGAACACCAGUGGCGAAAGCGGCUCUCUGGGGGCAACCUGACGCUGAGGCGCGAAAGCGUGGGGAGCGAACCGG
rnacentral:rRNA from 1 species